rnacentral:rRNA from 1 species
UACGUAGGGUGCAAGCGUUUGUCCGGAAUUAUUGGGCGUAAAGAGCUCGUAGGCGGUCUGUCGCGUCGGCUGUGAAAACCCGGAGCUCAACUCCGGGCCUGCAGUCGAUACGGGCAGACUGGAGUUCGGCAGGGGAGACUGGAAUUCCUGGUGUAGCGGUGAAAUGCGCAGAUAUCAGGAGGAACACCGGUGGCGAAGGCGGGGUCUCCUGGGCCGAUACUGACGCUGAGGAGCGAAAGCGUGGGGAGCGAACAGG